GGGGGGGGGGGGGGGCGGGCCGAAGGCAGGCGGGUCGGGCGAACAGGCGAGGGGCUGGCUCCUCUGACGUUAGCGGCGGACGGGUGAGUAACACGUGGAUAACCUACCUAUAAGACUGGGAUAACUUCGGGAAACCGGAGCUAAUACCGGAUAAUAUAUUGAACCGCAUGGUUCAAUAGUGAAAGACGGUUUUGCUGUCACUUAUAGAUGGAUCCGCGCCGCAUUAGCUAGUUGGUAAGGUAACGGCUUACCAAGGCAACGAUGCGUAGCCGACCUGAGAGGGUGAUCGGCCACACUGGAACUGAGACACGGUCCAGACUCCUACGGGAGGCAGCAGUAGGGAAUCUUCCGCAAUGGGCGAAAGCCUGACGGAGCAACGCCGCGUGAGUGAUGAAGGUCUUCGGAUCGUAAAACUCUGUUAUUAGGGAAGAACAAAUGUGUAAGUAACUAUGCACGUCUUGACGGUACCUAAUCAGAAAGCCGCGGCUAACUACGUG
rnacentral:rRNA from 1 species